GCCUGUGUAGCUCAGUUGGUAAGAGUACCACAUUGGUAAUGUGGGGGUCCUGAGUUCAAUCCUCAGCACAGGCU
rnacentral:tRNA from 1 species